UGUUUGGCCAAUAGCUCAGGCUUCUUACUGGCUAGCUCUACCUACAAGUUAACCCAUUUCUAACAUUCUGUAUUUUACCAAGAAGCUCAUGGCUUAUUAUCUCACAUAUUGCUUCCCUCGGUGGCGACUAAAUGGUGUCUCUCUGACCCUGCCUUCCUUCUCUCUUCCUCUUUGGAUUUCCCGCCUACCUAUAUUUUUCCCCAGCCAUUGGCUGAAACAGCUUUAUUCACAGCCAAUAAAAACAAUGUGUAUUUGCAGCAUACAGAAGGACACCCCACACUACGAGUCUCUGCUCUCCUCCCAAGACCACCAGCUUAUACUACAGAGUCAUUCCUGACUGUUGUUCUUUCUCUAUUGAACCUUAGAGCAUAUGCUGUUUGUGUCAUGGUUUCUUAUCUAGUAUUUUUGGUAUUUCAUCCAUAUUAUUCCAUGUGAUUUCAAACUGAUCAUUUUUGUUGUUUCACAGUGUUUCAUUGAAUGACUGUAUCACAAUUUCUUAUCUAAUUCACCUCACAUUUUUUUUUAAAGUGGUUUAAACAUCUGAACAAAUGCUUUCCGUCUUGAAAGAACAAAAUUCUAAUGGCAGGAAAAUGAGUGUGGUUAAUAAUACACUGGGAAAGAGUAUGUUACAUUAUUCUUACAUUUUCAUUUCCAAUGCUUGUGUAGGUCAGAGCAUGAAUGUUUUUUGAGUGCUUGAAGGAGUUCAGUGUAAUGUCAACUUUUGUCUCUUGAUGAGCAUUGAGACUCAGGGGCACAGUCAUGAGCCACUGAGGGUCCUGUGCUGGUGUCAUGCUCACUCUGACCUCUUCCAGCUGUCCUCAGCAGGGACUGUGUUGAUCUCAAAGAGUGACAAUAAGAUGACCAUAGGCACAAGUAAUUGAGAAGAGACUGACAGCUCGGAAUGGUGCCUCUCCUUUGCUCACUCACAAGAAUGUGUGUGCCACUCUUAUAAGUUGGUCCGUUCAGCUUUCAACCCAGUCCUAAUGUGACAGUCAGGUAUUAGCAACCCCAGUUACACUGAGAGGUAAGACCUGAAAUUAGUUGUUUUCUUGGUCUAUUGGCUGCAUGAGAAUGUGUCAGAUUAGACAUCUAGGGCCUUUGAACAAUUUCACAUUUUUUAUAUGGGGAGAGACAAGUUUGAGUAUGGGUAUGAAAAAAUUAAGUUCUGGGCAAAGAUGGGACCUCAAUAAAAGUGAUCUUCUACACAAAGUAUUGAUAUAUUCAUACCUAGACCUUUCUGAGGAGAUUCAAUGCAAGGUGGGAUGUUCAUCCUGCAGCUCAUUGAUUUUCAAGUUGCACUACGUUUUUGCUGGACUGUGUAGAGAAAAGAUUCGUUGGCCGAUUAAAAUUUAAGUAAUCAUCUCCAUGUUUAGGAGACAAGUUCUUCCCUUCCAUAAAUACUGCUUAUUACUUGAAAUCCCGUCUUUGUGGUUUUUUCCUCCCUGGUGCAUGACUGGUUCCAGCUUCACAAUUUCAAUUUUAAAACCCACGAAGAAGACCAGGAAAACUCUUGUAAUACAGUGAUGCCUUUGCUGUUCAGGAAAUGGAAAACAAUAUCUUCUAAUUUUUAGAGGAAUGGGAUAGAUGGGAGAAGGGAGACAAAGAUAAGCUGUUACCGAUUUCUCUCCAUGUGACACAACUGCCUGAUUCAGGCUAUUCUCAAAAGAGGGGACAGAUAAGUAAGUAUAGAAUAUAGGGUCUAUGGAUGGUAUUGACAUAAGAGGAGCUGUGGACGACUCGGCCCCACACCAUCCUUGGUGUGUGACUGCUAUGCCACAUUAUCUCUUGGGAGGUGUGAAGGCCUGUAUUCUCUGCUUGUGUAAGGACAUCUCAAGUCUAAGUUGCUACUGAUGAGUUUGUUUGGGUUACUUACAGGAGUAUGGGUGAGGGGUGUGUUGGCUCCCUUUUAUGUCAUCUUGACAAGGCUAGAGUCAUCAAUAAAGAAAACGCCCCCACUAUAUUUGUCUGUCUGGAAGGCUUUGGAACAUUUUCUUAAUCAAUGAUUGAAGGAGGAGGACCCAGCCCGUCAUGGGUGGCGUUAACCUUGGACUGGUGGUCUGGGCUGUAAAAGAAAGCAGACUGAGAAAGCUCUGGGGAUCAAGCCAGAAAGCAGCACUCCUCCAUGCCUUUUCCUUCUAUUCCUGUCACAAGUUCCUACCCUGGUUUCCAUCAGCAGUGAAUUUAUAAGCUGUAAGAUGAAAUAGAUCCUUUCAUCCCUGGUUGACUUUGGUGAUGAUGUUUUAUUCCACAACAAUAGAAAACUCUUAAGACAAGGGGUUACUUUCAGGAGUGGGAAUGACUCAAAGAAAGAUGCAACAGCAAAAUUCCACCCCAGCAUGGGAUGACUGGUUAUGAAUGCUGGAACCCUGGAGCUCACUGUAAUCUUUCAGGCAGCUCAACAGGCUGGAUAAUGCCUUCUCCAGACACUUGUAUUUUGUGGGAACUCAAGAUUCACUAGAGUCAGUACAGGUUAAGUGGGGAGAAUGCACUUACACAACAAAUAGACGAUUGCCACAUGUUUCCACUCCAAAGAUGCCCACCCUGCCACCCGGAUGCUCUUCAAGACUCGAGCAGGAAGCUAGAGAGAACUCCAAGCCCCAAUCUUAAUCCUUAUCACUGGUCAUAUCCAGACUUGUGACCAUGCUCAAAGGGGUGAGGUCAAUGCUACAGGUGUGGAUGAAUAUCUUAGUACACACUUGAGCUGGUCUCUGUCUCUUCCUGGAAGCUUGGCUGGUCUACCAAUGUCUCUGAGGAGUUCUUUCUAUCAAUACAAUCAUCAAGAGGGAGGGGUCUAGUGUAUCUUGACAGUUUCAGGAACUUCCUGGAGCUUUUGAGUUGUUUGCUAACCGAGUUUUAAGGAGUUUCCCAGAGUGAUGGACUAUUUCUCCCCCCUUUAGAAGAACACCCCGUGUCUUAACAAGCUUCCAAGAUGUACUUUUUUUUAGAACUAGGAAUAAAUUACUAUACAUUAGGAAGUGCGUACUAGCUGAGAGAAUGCUGGCGUAGUGUGCCUGUGUAGGGAGAAGUUGGAGAGGGGGCAUCGGUCUUGUUUCCAAAUGGCAUAAAAGGGGCAAACUGAAAGAAUUCAGAAGAGAUGGCACAGAAGCAGCUAGAAAUAGAAUGUGUGUCUUUGGAGAGAAGCUUCAAGGAGAAUGCGGCACGAGUGGGAACUGGGACAUGGAGUGGAAUUAAGCAGGAGGAUUCCCAGCCAUUUGGAGAUACAGCCCAAGUUUCACAAGCCAUGAACAUAGGCAGCUGAUUCCAGAGCGAUUUACACAACCAGAAGCAAGGAACAUUUUCAGGUAGGCCAAUACGGCUCAAGAAGAGAGAAUACAUAGGUGUCCAAUUUCAGCUACCGUCUUCUUUCCAACCACGAUGAUAUACAUGGAUAUUUAGCUAUGCUGGUUUGGAGACUGGAUCGGAGAACAUCUUGACAGACAACAGCAGAGACAAUGGGGACCUCACUACUUAAAGGAGACACAUCUGAGUCACCUGUUGCUAAAUUCACAAGUUGCUUUGCUAUCUAGUGAUCCUGUGGCUUCAGAAGAAACAAACACAUAAAAAAGGGUCAGCAGUAGAAAGUGAACCUAUAGCUCCAUAGUUUUCCACUUCCAUUCAAUUCUGCAUGGGUGUCUGGGUCUCAAUGCACGUGUCUUAAUUGAGUGGUUUCUAGAAACAACAACAACAAACAACAACCCAGUUUUAGAAACAAUGAAUUUUGUCUAUAAAGUUUAAUUUUAAAGUUUGUCCAGUAUGAACUUUCCAAGUUUAUACAGAUUUUUUUUUAGGGUAGAAUCAGGGCAUCAGUGGUUUGUGGCAGAGAAGAGCCUUAAAUAGUUUACACUGUAGGCAUAUCUCACACUCCUUUAUCUUGACCAUUGUAACUAAUACUGCAAUGUACACAGGAAUAUCUCCUAAUUUCAGGGCUAGAGAGUUGGCUCACUGCAUAAAGACACUUGCUGCUGAGUUCAGCCCCUGGAAUCCACAUGGUAGAAGAAGAAAAAUCAGUUCCUCAAAGCCAUUCUCAAACCUCCAAAUGUUCCAUGUACACCCCCAACACACAGAUAAAUGGGAAAGGUGCUGGUUUCCAUUACUUUGAAAUAUGAUUUAUGGAUUAUGUGGGUGUUUUGAAAGUAGAUUUUUCACACAACAUCUGAUUACAGUUUCUCUUCUCCCAAUUCCUUUCAGACGUUACCCACCCACCCAAGUCCACACCCCUUCUUCUUCUCUUCCAUUAGAAUACAAACAGGCUUUUAGAAAAGAAAGAAAACAAGAUCAAAUAAAACAAGACAAAUUCAUAACAGCAGCAAACAAAUGAAAAGAGAAAAAAGAGCAGAAGAAAAAGCACAGGAAACACAGGCAGAUGCUGGGGCACCACACACACAAUGACUUGUCCGGGAAUGUUUUUUUAUUAUUUUAUUAAACUUACAGAUACGUUAUAUAUAUUAUGGUUUUUGAUUUCAUGUAAUUUUAACUUAUUGUUCUGGAAUUUAAAACUGUUUUCCUGGUGGAUGCACCAUUUAUAUCUACACCACCAGUGUACAGAUGUCUUUUUUUGCUGUUGUCCUCACCAACUCUCACGCUUUGAUGAUAGCCAUCCUAACAGGCAUGAGGUGGCAUCCUGCUGUGGCUUUGGUUUCCAUUCCCUCGAUAACCGUGGAUGCUGAGCACCUGUCCCUGUAGCCAUUCGCAUACUGUCUUCAGAGAAGAUUCAAGCCCUUUGCUCAUGUUUUUAUUGGGGCUUUGCUAUUAUUUUGCUUUUGAGUUGUAGGCAUUCCGCAUAUAGCUUAGCUACCGAUCCCUGAUCAUAUAUGUGAUUUUCAAUGUUUCCACCCCUUCUGUGUCCCCUGCUGUGCCUGGUUGUUUCCUUCACUGUGCUGAGGCCUUUGGAUUUGAAGUCAGUCUGUCCGCAUCUCAGCAGUGUUUGUCAGCCCCAUGCAUGAAGCCCUUCACUUGCAUUUUUUUCUGAGGAAUUUCAUGACUUCCAUUCUUAUUUCUAGAAUUUUAAUAUGCUGUUGUGUGAGACAUCAACACAGUAUUAAAUUUCGUUCUUUGUAUGUAAAUAUUUCAUCUUCCCGGGACACACAGUUACAAAACAAAACAAGUUUCAGAGCAGCCAAAGAAAGAAGCAAGAAGUAGAAGGAGACAGCUGGGCUGGCAAUGGAAAGCAAGGAGGUGGAGGUUCAGUUGGUGAGGUGAGUAACUUUUGCAGAUCUGCUGGGCAGCGAGGUAUUCCUUCUCAGCAUCCAGCCAUGGAUUCAAAACAUUAGCAGUUGCACUCAUAAGAGGAUACCAGACAUAAAACAAAAGAUACCCAGCAUACAAUCCACAACCACGGAGAAGCUAGGCCUCUCCUCCAGAAACAGAUGGAAGCAGAUGCAGAAAUCCACAACUAACCAAUGGGCCAAGCUCCUGGAGUACAAUUGAAGUGAAGGAGGAGGGAAAAUAUGGACACAGGAGUCAAGACUGUGAUGGGGAAACCCACAGAAUCAGCUGACCUGAGCCACUGAGAGAUCAGUGACUCAGGUCUGACAAAUGGGGAACCUGCAGAAGACCAAACUAGACUCCCUUAAUAUAGGUGGCAAUGGUGUGACUGGGAAUUAUAUGAGGGCAGUGGCAGUGGGUCCAAGACCUAACACUAAUGCACAGACUGACUUAGUGGAGCCCAUUCUAUAUGGAGAGAUACCUUGCCCAGCCUAGAUACAGGGUGUGGAGAGGUGCCUUGGUCCUGCCUGAACUAGAUGAUGGGACAGACUUGGAGACUUCCUAGGGGAGGCAUCACCUUCUCUGUGGAGCAGAUGGAAGGCAGGAGAGUGGGGUGAGUGAGAG
rnacentral:lncRNA from 1 species